AUGGGAGAGUUGACCCACAAUAUAAUCUUUUAAAGAAGUAUAAGAGGCAGAGCAGAGAGAAGGAAAUAGAAGAGUUGAGGUUUUUGUUUAAUGAUAGCUAUAAACAUACAAACCAGGUCAGAAAGUGACUCAAAACUGAAAUGUAGGUCUUAAAACCUGGAUCUAGAAAUAUGGCAAUGAAGCAAAGUAAUUUUUUUCAGGAUAACAAAAUGAGCUCUGGAUUUUCACCUGCAUCUCAGUUGCAUUGCAUACACGCCAACUGCAGCAUCUUUCUUGGAGGGGAGGAUAGAAGAAUCCUUAAAGCAAUGUCAUAAAACUACCUGCAUUCCCAGGACCUACAGGCUCGUUAUUUCUGCAACAAGUCCCAGAAAACACACUACUUUCUCUGUAAGAAACCAGUGAUUGCCAGUACAUCCUAUUUUCCGGAGAAGUACAAGAAACAUUUUUAACAGGUUCCCCUUGCCCUUCUCCCCUCCUCCCAUCUGGAAAGUUCUGGGGAAUCUCAUUUUGGGGGCCAAGUGCAGGCUCUGGAAAGACACUUACCUGAGUCUUCCCGACACCAUGAUGGCAACGCGGUCACAGACGGCCUCAGCCUCAGCCAG